UGGCGGAAAAGAGGGGAUUUGAACCCCUGAUACGGUUAACGUAAACACGCUUUCCAGGCAUGCGCCUUAAACCACUCGGCCACUUUUCC
rnacentral:tRNA from 1 species